AGCAGCCGCGGUAAUUCCAGCUCCAAUAGCGUAUAUUAAAGUUGUUGCAGUUAAAAGCUCGUAGUUGGAUUUCGGGGUUAGUAGGUCGGUCGUGCCACAGGUAUGUACUGGUCUCACUGAUUCCUCCUUCCUGAUGAACCGUAAUGCCAUUAAUUUGGUGUUGCGGGGAAACUGGACUGUUACUUUGAAAAAUUGAGUGUUUAAAGCAAGCUAACGCUUGAAUACAUUAGCAUGGAAUAAUGAAAUAGGACGUUCGAUCCUAUUUUGUUGGUUUCUAGGAUUGACGUAAUGAUUAAUAGGGAUAGUUGGGGGCUAUUAGUA
rnacentral:rRNA from 1 species